GCCUUCACCGCCAAUCGUGGCUUUCCAUGUGCGGUUUCCUGCGGACGGAGCGUGGCCGGCGUCGAUUGGCCGGGAGGAGCCACGCUCGGCCAAUCGUAUCCGGGGGGGGUUUAACGGGUACGGCCGGACGUUGUUUUUUGUAGCGGCCGACUGGUCAGCGUCCGGUACCGUGGUCGGUAGACGCAACCACCGUGGCUGCGGUCGGCAGCGUUGAGGGCAAAAUCCACAUGGGCACGCCAGGCUCGACCGCUUCCGGGAGCACUCGGGAUGUUAACCAGGCACCCCGUUGCCAUGGUAACAGGUGUUUCCGCUCGCGUCGUGCCUCGGUGACAGCUGGGGCUGCCAUGAAUUACGACAGCUAAGCGAGAGCAGCAGGGCCCCUCACUCUCUCUGUGCAGAAUGAUUACUCCUCAAAGCGUCGUUCUUCUGUGAGGCUCUUCAUUGUGGUUCUCAGUGCCAGCCCUGGAUGUGCACUCUGCCGUUUGAGUUUGUACCAGGUAUACGUAUGCUGUCUGAAAUGCGGAGAGACAGAUCUCCAAAAACCCUGGAACUAGCAGCUCACGCCAGCAUAUUAUUACAGGCUGGUCCCGGCUUUCUAGGGAGAGCAAGGCUGCUGCCGCUGCGAGUUUCUCCACGUCACUUGGGCGCCGCUGCUGCAUGUGCGCGUUGUUGCUGAACGCUUGGUGAAACAGAGCAGAGUCUGGUCCUUUAGGAUGCGAGUGGGCGCUGAUGGCAGUAGAAGACACUGUAGUCAUCAAGGUGUCUUCAGCACAAGAACCUCUGGGGGGCUGAGGUGCGUCCUGCCUCAUCACUGGUGGCUGUUACCCUGACGUCAGAAAAGGCUGUCAAAUGGACAAAAGCGCUUCAUGGAAUCACUCUCCCUUUUCACUGCUCCACCUGCCCCUUUCUGCGUUGACGGUCCUAAUUGCACACUGGUCUUGGUGCUCCUGAGGCCAAAGGCGAACCCAGCAGGGCAUGGGCACCACUGACUUAUACUGCCUUCCUCUCCUGCUGGCUCCUGCAUGCUUCCUGGUGGGACAGGAUGGUCCUCAGGUGCCUCUCCAUUGAGUCUAUUUCAGCCUAUAUGUGUCGGAGCAAGUCAGAAACAUAGAUGUCAUCCUUUCCCCGAUGCUCUGUUCUUAUGGAGGCUGAGGCUGUUGCUCCCAUUUCCGGGAAGUGACAGAACAUGGGCACACUGAAAGGGAUGGAGACUCAUCUUGCAGAGCAUUGCCCUACAGAGCAAGCCCCUGCAGGGCUCCCAGCACCUCAGUGCAUCUGAUGCAUCUCAGUGGCUCAUCUGUCCCCAUAGUCGUCUUCCUCUUCUCCAGAGGCCAGGGGCAAUGCUCUGCAGGCUCAGGAUGCCAGUGUGCUUCAAGACAUCCAUGAGGAUCCAGGUUACAUAUCUUUGGGCAAGACUGUCCCAGAGGUGGCCCAGGGUGGGGUGCAAGCUGAAGAAUUUCUGCUUGGUGCUGGGAGACUGCUGAUCUGGGUCCUUUGGAGUGACAACCUUGCUGACCCUGUGCUGGAUCCAUCUGAGGUGUUCAGAAAGCCUCAGCUGGCCAGAAGGGCCAGUUGGAGGCACAGCACUGGGUAUUAAUGCGCAGCUGCUGCUCAUGGGAUGCCGUUAUUUCUUCCCCAUCCUCAGUAGUUACGUGGCAGGUAGGUACACCAAGUCAGCAGAGCCAGUUGAAGGCACGGUGCUGGGUAUCAAUGUGCAGCUGCUGCUUAUGUGGCAUGCCCUCUUUUGGUCCCCAUCCACGUUGUUACAUGGCAGGUGGAUAGAGAGUGCCAGCAGGGCCAGUUGAAGGCACGGUGCUGGGUAUCAAUGAGCAGCUGCACCUCAAGAACCACCGGCAUUUUGUUGCCGUUCCCACACUGAUGGGACAGCUGGUUAAGCCAUACCAGCAGGGCCCGCUGGAGGUCCUGGUCUCAACUGGAUGCUGCUGCUGAGGAAGGAGUGGCUUUUUGUCCCGAUUACUGCAGACAUGGCGGUAGCCAGAAGGUUUUGGAAAUA